UACGUAGGGGGCAAGCGUUGUCCGGAUUUAUUGGGUUUAAAGGGUGCGUAGGCGGUCUUUUAAGUCAGUGGUGAAAUACGGCAGCUCAACUGUCGAGGUGCCAUUGAUACUGGAAGACUUGAGUACUGAUGAGGUAGGCGGAAUGGACGGUGUAGCGGUGAAAUGCUUAGAUAUCGUCCAGAACACCGAUAGCGAAGGCAGCUUACUAAGGAGUAACUGACGCUGAGGCACGAAAGUGUGGGGAUCAAACAGG
rnacentral:rRNA from 1 species